UACGAAGGGUGCAAGCGUUACUCGGAAUUACUGGGCGUAAAGCGUGCGUAGGUGGUUUGUUAAGUCUGUUGUGAAAGCCCCGGGCUCAACCUGGGAAUGGCAAUGGAUACUGGCAAGCUAGAGUGCGGUAGAGGGUAGUGGAAUUCCCGGUGUAGCGGUGAAAUGCGUAGAGAUCGGGAGGAACACCAGUGGCGAAGGCGGCUAUCUGGACGGUUUCUGACACUAAGACUCGAAAGCGUGGGGAGCAAACAGG
rnacentral:rRNA from 1 species